rnacentral:tRNA from 1 species
GCUUUAGCUCAGCAGGUAGAGCAAUUGAUUCGUAAUCAAUAGGUCGGGGGUUCGAUUCCCCCAGGC